GACGUAGGGCGCGAGCGUUGUCCGGAUUUAUUGGGCGUAAAGAGCUCGUAGGCGGCUCGGUAAGUCAGGUGUGAAACCUCCAGGCUCAACCUGGAGACGCCACCUGAUACUGCUGUGGCUAGAGUCCGGUAGGGGAGCGUGGAAUUCCUGGUGUAGCGGUGAAAUGCGCAGAUAUCAGGAGGAACACCAGCGGCGAAGGCGGCGCUCUGGGCCGGAACUGACGCUGAGGAGCGAAAGCGUGGGUAGCAAACAGG
rnacentral:rRNA from 1 species